GAUGAACGCUGGCGGCGUGCCUAAUACAUGCAAGUCGAGCGAACAGACGAGGAGCUUGCUCCUCUGACGUUAGCGGCGGACGGGUGAGUAACACGUGGAUAACCUACCUAUAAGACUGGGAUAACUUCGGGAAACCGGAGCUAAUACCGGAUAACAUGUUGAACCGCAUGGUUCAACAGUGAAAGACGGUCUUGCUGUCACUUAUAGAUGGAUCCGCGCCGCAUUAGCUAGUUGGUAAGGUAACGGCUUACCAAGGCAACGAUGCGUAGCCGACCUGAGAGGGUGAUCGGCCACACUGGAACUGAGACACGGUCCAGACUCCUACGGGAGGCAGUAGUAGGGAAUCUUCCGCAAUGGGCGAAAGCCUGACGGAGCAACGCCGCGUGAGUGAAGAAGGUCUUCGGAUCGUAAAACUCUGUUAUUAGGGAAGAACAAAUGUGUAAGUAACUAUGCACGUCUUGACGGUACCUAAUCAGAAAGCCACGGCUAACUACGUG
rnacentral:rRNA from 1 species